UUCCAGCGUCUCCGCUUGGACCU
rnacentral:snRNA from 1 species